CAGAGAGAGAGUUCCUUUUUCCAUCACCUAAUUUUAAAGCUAAGAGAUUAAAGAUAUUGUUCAUUAUAUAAUGCUAAAUAUUAAUUUCUGCUCAAGAGGGAUGCUUAAACCAUUAUAAAUCGUAUCUUUGUUUUGAAUAAAAUGUAGUUGCUUGUGGUGUUGUACACUGUGGUCUAAGUAGUUUUGUUUGUAAAUUACUAUUUUUCUGAUUAAGCUUGCAUUGCUUUUGUUGGUAUUAUUUCGGCAAGCAAAAACUGGCAUCAUAUACAUUAUGUGAAGUAAUUAUGAGCCCUUCUCCAAAGAGUUGGUAGUUUGACCUGCAAAAUCCAUCAGGAUAGGUAUAUAUGAAGGUCUUUGAUUUUAAACAUUGCACUAUUUCAGUUGACUUCAAUACAACUGAAAUAUUGCACUAAAUUUUUUCAUUCAUCACUCGUGUUCAUGUUACUAUGCGCUCUAUUGGUAUGACCAUCCAGAAACAUAUGUAUGCAGAGGAAAAUCAAAUAGCCAAUAAUUGGGAUGAUUCAUAAUUAAAAGUUCAUAAUCAUCUAGAUGUACUUGAAGGGGAAAAAUAGCACAAGUCAGAAGAUGUUACGGUGCAUCGAUGAAGUGGUGGAUAGAAAAACUUGAUACAAAGGUAUUGUCAACAUCCACAAGUUGUUAGAAAAUCUACCUUCCAAAAGCUGUGAUAUUGGUUUAAUUGUUUAGUUAUCAAACUUUUAUGUGGUUCAAAAGCUAUGUUUUCCUUAUGGGGACUUUUGAAUUGGGACGGCAAAAAGCAUGGAAGAGGAGGACCAGGAGAUGUUGGUGCUUCAAACAUGUUUUACAUUAGUAACAAAGGAAUUUACAGUCCCGACAAUUCUAAACACACACAGAAAGCAAAGUGAGUAUGGUAUGGCUUUAUCUUGUGAAUUGAGAUAUGUCAGGCCUGAGCUGGUCAAAAAUUCUGUGAGAAGAAGGCACUUCCAAAGGAGCUGCUGUAGCAGCUGACCGUUGGUGUCUGAUGGUGGGGACUGGGG
rnacentral:lncRNA from 1 species